rnacentral:lncRNA from 1 species
AUAAUUCUAAAAGUGCGUUUUACACUAUUCUUGUGUCUUCAGGAUUUCAGGCUGUCAGGAAGAAUGAAAUCACAACCAAAGUCACUUAACGUACACUGAACAACUUCUGAAUAACAGAUUUUCCAGCAAUUUAGCAAACACAACUGAUAAACUUUUCCUUGUCUUUCUUCCAUGUUUGUCUUAGAUGAUAACUGCAGAAGGAGAUUUGAGGUUUUCUAUCUCCCCCGUGAGCUAUAAUGGGGCAAACAUCUCACAUAAAAUAUGCGAAGGAUUCUGAAGUGUUUGUAUGAUUCUCUCUCAAUAUUAAUAAGGGAGGAUGUGCAGAUUAAAGCCAUCUGUGAGAUUAAGGUGUCCUGGGGAAUGGAAACAGCAAGAGCAAAGAAGCUAGCAGCUGGUGGAGUGCAUUUACCCUGACAUGGCAGCAUGGGAAGGAUGGCCUGGUGGGAAAAUGAGGCUGUCUUAUGGACAAGACAAGUAGCAUGUGAGUGUGAAUAGCAAAACUGGAAUGGAGGGAGAGGGAAAAAAAGUUGUGAGAGAAAGAAAUAUACUCCAGAAUAACAAAAUAAUUGGAAUUAUCAAUAUAAGCUAGCCUACAAGCAACCUGAAUAUUGUUAAUGCCCUGCAGGCAAUUUACUCAAAAGUGUUGUUAUACCCAUAGGUGUGAUGAAAUCCCUCAUAAAGGGCUGAGGGCAAGGCUGGAUUUGGUCCCUUAGGGAUCUGCCUGGUGGUUGUGGAGCUGCAACAGAUCAUAAGAAUCUGAAACUUUGUAUCUCACAGCAUGUCAUGAAUACCCAAGUAUGCCACCUGCCUGCUGCUCUAUCUGCUGUUCGAUGCCCAAAACCUGGACAAGGAUGGAUUCUGUGCAAAACCAAACUGCUGUUCUGUUGCGUGUCGGCAGUUCAGAGUUUUUAGGCCUUCUGUCAUCCACCCUCUGCAGAGAAAGAAAGUAAGUUGGCUUGGAGAGUCCAUCAGAAAUCCUGAGCUUGCACAUCUUGCCACCAGAAACAACCCCUGGGUCUAAUGCCUGGCUGCUGACCCAAAAACUAAGAAAUUGUCAUGAAAAUAGAUGUAACAACUGAUUUCUAUGAUUCAGCUAAAACAACAACAAUAAUAACAUC